rnacentral:pre_miRNA from 7 species
CCUUCGGAGACAAAGGUGGUCGCAAAUCCCCGACGAGCCCCCACAAAUGAAAGACCCCUGAAGAGGGGAGACCCUCACUCAAGUCUCGGGAUGGCAUGACCCCCCCAAGAACUCACAAGAGGCU